GAUGAAGAACGCAGCGAACGUGCGAAACGUAAUGUGAAUUGCAGAAUUCAGUGAAUCAUCGAAUCUCUGAACGCAUCUUGCGCUCCUUGGUAUUCCGAGGAGCAUGCCUGUUUGAGUGUCGUGAAUACUCUCAACUUCAACCCUUUUUUCGGAAAGGGAGGAAGGUUGGACUUGGGUGUUUGUUGAAGUGCGAGCUUCGACUCAUCCUAAAUGCAUUAGCGAUCUGCCUCGAUCACACACAAUGUGAUAAUUAAAACUAAAGCAUUGUUUAAUGAUCAAGUCGAGACUGCUUCUAACUGUCGCAAGACAAUAACGUGCAUACAUUUGUGCAUGUCAUUUGACCUCAAAUCAGGUAGGACUACCCGCUGAACUUAAGCAUAUCAAUAAGCGGAGGA
rnacentral:misc_RNA from 1 species